AUAACGCAGGUGUCCUAAG
rnacentral:snRNA from 1 species